ACACCGGCGGCCCGAGUGGUGAUCGUGAUUAUUGGGUCUAAAGGGUCCGUAGCCGGUUUGGUCAGUCCUCCGGGAAAUCUGAUAGCUCAACUAUUAGGCUUUCGGGGGAUACUGCCAGACUUGGAACCGGGAGAGGUAAGAGGUACUACAGGGGUAGGGGUGAAAUCUUGUAAUCCCUGUGGGACCACCUGUGGCGAAGGCGUCUUACCAGAACGGGUUCGACGGUGAGGGACGAAAGCUGGGGGCACGAACCGGAUUAGAUACCCGGGUAGUCCCAGCCGUAAACGAUGCUCGCUAGGUGUCAGGCAUGGCGCGACCGUGUCUGGUGCCGCAGGGAAGCCGUGAAGCGAGCCACCUGGGGAGUACGGCCGCAAGGCUGAAACUUAAAUGAAUUGGCGGGG
rnacentral:rRNA from 1 species